AGAGUUUGAUCAUGGCUCAGAUUGAACGCUGGCGGCAGGCUUAACACAUGCAAGUCGAGCGGAUGAAAGUAGCUUGCUACUGGAUUCAGCGGCGGACGGGUGAGUAAUACUUAGGAAUCUGCCUAUUAGUGGGGGACAACAUCUCGAAAGGGAUGCUAAUACCGCAUACGUCCUACGGGAGAAAGCAGGGGAUCUUCGGACCUUGCGCUAAUAGACGAGCCUAAGUCGGAUUAGCUAGUUGGUGGGGUAAAGGCCUACCAAGGCGACGAUCUGUAGCGGGUCUGAGAGGAUGAUCCGCCACACUGGGACUGAGACACGGCCCAGACUCCUACGGGAGGCAGCAGUGGGGAAUAUUGGACAAUGGGCGCAAGCCUGAUCCAGCCAUGCCGCGUGUGUGAAGAAGGCCUUUUGGUUGUAAAGCACUUUAAGCGAGGAGGAGGCUCCUAUAGAUAAUACCUAUAGUGAGUGGACGUUACUCGCAGAAUAAGCACCGGCUAACUCUGUGCCAGCAGCCGCGGUAAUACAGAGGGUGCGAGCGUUAAUCGGAUUUACUGGGCGUAAAGCGUGCGUAGGCGGCUAAUUAAGUCGGAUGUGAAAUCCCCGAGCUCAACUUGGGAAUUGCAUUCGAUACUGGUUAGCUAGAGUAUGGGAGAGGAUGGUAGAAUUCCAGGUGUAGCGGUGAAAUGCGUAGAGAUCUGGAGGAAUACCGAUGGCGAAGGCAGCCAUCUGGCCUAAUACUGACGCUGAGGUACGAAAGCAUGGGGAGCAAACAGGAUUAGAUACCCUGGUAGUCCGUGCCGUAAACGAUGUCUACUAGCCGUUGGGGCCUUUGAGGCUUUAGUGGCGCAGCUAACGCGAUAAGUAGACCGCCUGGGGAGUACGGUCGCAAGACUAAAACUCAAAUGAAUUGACGG
rnacentral:rRNA from 1 species